UGGGGAAUAUUGCACAAUGGGCGCAAGCCUGAUGCAGCAACGCCGCGUGAGGGACGACGGCCUUCGGGUUGUAAACCUCUUUUAGUAGGGAAGAAGCGAAAGUGACGGUACCUGCAGGAAAAGCACCGGCUAACUACGUGCCAGCAGCCGCGGUAAUACGUAGGGUGCGAGCGUUGUCCGGAAUUAUUGGGCGUAAAGAGCUCGUAGGCGGUCUGUCGCGUCUGCUGUGAAAACCCGAGGCUCAACCUCGGGCCUGCAGUGGGUACGGGCAGACUAGAGUGCGGUAGGGGAGAAUGGAAUUCCUGGUGUAGCGGUGGAAUGCGCAGAUAUCAGGAGGAACACCGAUGGCGAAGGCAGUUCUCUGGGCCGUAACUGACGCUGAGGAGCGAAAGCGUGGGGAGCGAACAGGAUUAGAUACCCUGGUAGUCCACGCCGUAAACGUUGGGCGCUAGAUGUGGGGACCAUUCCACGGUUUCCGUGUCGCAGCUAACGCAUUAAGCGCCCCGCCUGGGGAGUACGGCCGCAAGGCUAAAACU
rnacentral:rRNA from 1 species